AUUCAUGUUUGGCCCGUAGAUAACAGAAAAAAAAAUACGAAGCGUAGCUAACUGUACAUCUGUGUUGUUUGUGUUAUACGUUUUGAGGCCUAAUGCAUUAGUCACGCUAUUUCCGAGAAAGCGCCCGCAGGUUUCAAAAUAUCGAUCGCACAUAUUUGUCAUUUUGGAGAAUGCACCAACAGAGUGCAUUUUAUUUAAAUGCUUUUUUUUCGCACACCAUCAUCCAGUCCACAGUGUAUUAUGAUCCCGGGAUUGCACUGGAUGAGCACAUGUUCACUAGUGUGGGUCAUCGGAAACGUUUUCUCAGAUCAAAGCUUUUUUGGUUCCGUUCUGGGUCCUGAGUAUCUGUGCAAAAUUUGAGCACGAUUGGUUGCGUCUACACUUUGCGCAUUGCAAUUGAAAUUUGUAUGGGAUUUUGUAUGGGAAAACAUACUUUUUUGCAUUUUUGUCAUAAGUUGAAAAAGUUUGUCUGAAACUUUUUAACCGAUACUGUAAAAUGAUAGCCUAGAAUGUUCUGAAAAACUUUGUUGAAGAUCGCAAAGCUAUCCGAUGCUUGAGAAAAUAGUUAUAACCAACGAAUCGCAUGCAUGUGUUUAUGUUUUAACAUGUAAAGGAAUAAUAAUAGCAACAAAAUCAUGCUGUUUCGCCAAGCAAUGCCAACGCUAUAACUUUUUUCAUAAGCAUCAGAUCACUUCGCGGUCUUCGACAAAGUUGUUCAGGACACCCUAGGCUAUGUUUUCACUUUAUCGGUUACACGGUUUUAUGAAAAUUCGAGCUUGUUAUGAGGAAAAUGCAAAAAAGUGUGUUUUCCCAUGUAAAACCCCAUACAAACUUCAAACGCGAUGCGCAAAACGUAGACAUAAUCGAUCGUGCCCAAAUUUUGCACACUUAUUUGGAUCCUGAAAUGGGAUCAAAAAAGCGUUGAUCUGAUAGGAUACCAUUGAAUUUUUCAUUUUUCCAUAUAAACGAUGACCCACUCUAAUGUUCACAUGCUUUGCAGCGGUGCAAUCGAUGCAAUACUUGAAUUACAUUCAUCUCUCUAUGUAGACACAUGUAUACAUACAUAUCUGUAAUUAAUUGUUGUCCAUGUCCAUCUUCUCUUCUCAUGCGUUUCAUAACAUGGUCAGUGAGAGUUUUUCCUCAUUCAGUCUUAGCCAUCGUGUUAAGAGGUAUGGAUGUAUAAUUGAUCCCAUACCAAUCAUCACAAAGGUGUAAACAACUCAAAUCAUCUGUGUUCAUGAUCAAUUUCGUAUUGUCCAAAGUAGUUUGAAACAUCACAUUGAGUUUGGAAUCGUAGCCCAUAGCGUUUCGGAUCAACAGUUACUGUUGAGUGAAAAUCUAUCACAGUGAAACAUUGCACUUCUUUUUGACAGUAUGUAAAUAGCGCUAUUUGACGAAAUUCUUGAAUUUCAAAUGUUUCUUCUUGAAACAGAGGUUAACCCUUUAUAAGGCAGUGGCAACUAUAUUGCCACCUAAUAGACAUAUUUUUUUCUGUUCGUUUAGAAAAUUUUUACAACUUCUGUUUUAACUGAUGGAUACAUUAGGCCUUUGUGAACACUCAUGAUUUUUUUUUAGCCAUAACAAAUAUGAAUGGGCUUUUUUAGAACAAAAUUUCUGUCCAAAAACUGCCAUUUUUGGGUGUAUAAAGGUUUUUUUGCUCGAACUUCUGUUGUGGUGAGCGAAUUGAAAAUCAAAUUAUGGGGAAUGAAAGGCCCAUGUUCCUUAUACUUGUGGACAAUAUUUCAACUUGAUUGCUUCAUUAGUUUUAGGAACUCAGACUUUUGAAAAAAUGUACUAUUAUAAAUGGGCAUGUACUAAAAUUGCCAUAUUAUUGACCAUAAAUUAUUGACCAAUCGAGUUCAAAUCCACACAUGUAGCUCAUGAAUAUUGGGGCAAUAACUUAUAAAAAAAUCAGCAUGAUUGAUAAACGCAUCACAAAAUAACAACAUUUUAAACUUUGUUGACAAAAAGUUGAAAUUUAGACCAUUUUUUUCAUACAAAAUCGACCAUUUAAUUUUUUGAAAAUAAAAUCGUUUUUGUUCAUUACAUCACAUGUACUUUAUAUUCCAAUGUAGAACGAGUAGAUUCCGUGCCUGGUUUUCUCGGCCUUAUAAAGGGUUAAAUAUGAUGUCCCAAAUAGAAAAAAAAAAUGUCGAAGAUUUAACUAGCUCACCCAUAGAAUAAUAGAUCAGGGUCUUAGAAACAAAAGAUCCAUACACUAAAACUGAAUCAAAAAAUACGUCCAUACACAGUUAUCGAUCACACACAGUUACGGAUCACUUUGAUGUUUGAAGUCGAAUAUCUUGCUCAAUACAUAUAUUUUGGCACGAAACUCAUUUUAAUAGCAUGAUUUUAUUUGUUUUCUGAGAUAAAAAGUGAUUUACAAGAGCCUAACGUGAAUAUCCCUAGUAACAAUAAGCAUGCCUUGAAGGUUUAUUCAUGUUUUAUCCUGGUUUUAUACGAGCAUGUGAAAAAGCUAGUUGUUCUAAAUCAGUUUUAUGUGGUAGUUUUUUACUUUGCACUUUUGGCGUUCCAUAAAACUAUCAUAUAACUUCUGCUAUAAACAUCUUCAGUUGAAAACUUCCCAAGUAACAAAUAUACUUUUGUGGCAAUCCUGAAGUAAUUUCUAAGAUAGAAUAAUAAAACAUAGCAAUAAAGCUCUUUGUUCUGCAAAUCCGAGAUAAAAUAGGCAUAAAAUAUUCAUAAGACUAAUCUGGCCCACUCUUCAGGAGGUCUCCAAAGCUGCUUUUGAAGACUGCUUUGAAACUAGUUGUAUUUAUGUGCUUGCACUGAUUUUUUAUUAUAAGAACUUCAAAAAACUUUAACAAGAAUAGCUUGAGGCAUGAUAAUAGUGCUAAUAGUGCAUAAUAAAUAAAAUCUUAUACAUAAGCACUAUGAAAUGUUAAUUGAACUGCGAAUUAAUUUUCAUCAAAUUAAAACGGCUAAAGCAUUUAAAUUGCCUGACAGAUCCACUUUUUCGUUGAUAUGCCACCAAAAACAUAUGAAAAUAACAAAGCGCCUUAAAAAUAAUAUCAAUCAUUAAUAUACGAAGACAUAAAUUUCCCAUAAAAACAAAAGGCUACGCCACUUUUUCAAUUCUUUCUAAACAUGGUUGCCGUUACAAGCGAACAAAACUCAUGCGGCCGCCAUCUAUUGUUAUUACCUUUAAACCAAACCACCUCAAAACAAUGAUGGAACCAAGUUGCAUUGCAUGAAAUCUACAGCACUUAUUGAAGAUUGUUUUUACUAGUGAUGAUUUUAAGGACAAACGUCUUGAAAUCCCGCAUCAACAGUGCAUCAGAAAUUCAGACGCACAAAUCUCAAGAAGCAAGUUUUAAACAACAGUGCAUUUAAUUAUUCUGUUCUUGCUCACUUGUAAUAAGCUUAAAAUAAGAAGAUCAGGUGCGCUGGUUUUGUUUACGGAGAGAUUUGUGCUCUCGAAAUCGUGAGUAGGUGCCAAAGUCGGCCAUUAAGAAGGCCAUUUUGGGAUUCUAACAAGUCUGUCCUUAAGGCAGAUUUGUUCGUCUUAAAUGAAACUUAUUCGUUUUAUUCAAGAGUAACAGUCUUUAAAAAUUGUGUGUUUACCUUUUUGGAGCUAGAAAGCUGUUUCUGUACAUUUCGCGUACAUUCUGCUAUUCUAUUAUGAUUUUGUGCAUUUUUGCAUUAAAUAAUUAAGUGCAACUUACUAAAAUUACACUAUUUAGCAUGAGCAUGAGAAGAGUCACAAUAAGUACCCAUUUCAUUUUCGAUUCAAGUUUCUGUGACCUGUGUGAGAAACUGGAUGAAGGUUGGACGGCAGCAGCAAGCUACUCGCAUUCUUGAUUGGCUACAAAAUGAAAAUUUCGUCGAUAUGAUUACUUUUAAGCACCAAAACGGCUAAAUUAACAGUGAGCAACAAUGUUUGAGUGUUUAUAUUUGCAUAAGCUGUUUACAGUCAAUUUGUUGCAUAAUUUAAUAUUUGAGUUAAUAAGAUAGUUCGUUAUUUUAUCAUCCCUCUUAGUUUUUUGUUCCAGAGUAGUGGCUCUAGCUCAAGAAUUGAAAGCUUAAAGAAGUUUUUAAAGGAGAAUAACUCAGACGAAUUGUACUUGAAUAAACGAAGCAUAAUUUUUUAAUAAAGUUUGUUGAUGUUAUGUGUUGAAAAUAACUUCAAAAACGUCCUAAAACUUAUUAUAAUAUUAAAUGCCUUAGUGAAUCAAGUUGUUUUAUGCGCGAUUUUCAAAAUAAACUUGAAGAAAACUUAAAACCCGCAUACGAACGGAGAUUGUUUUCUCUUGAUAAAAACAACUAUAAAUAUUUCAUGAAUUGAUCAUGCUAUAAUAAAGCUUAUGGAGGUAUAUAAGAACUCGAGAGCACUUUGAAGUUGGCAUCAAUGGUUUUAUGUUUAAAGUUUUUGAAUUGCUAAAAAACUUCGAUAAAAUUAAAAUUUUUACUUGGGAUUUAAUUUACUCGGUUGAAUUGAGUGCAUAAAACGGGGUUUCAACAUAGCGGAGUUUCAAAGACAUUAUGUAAUUUUCCUGAAAAUAAGCAUGACGGAAACGUAUUGAAUCGUUAAGUUUGAUCUCAAGCUGUACGUGAAAUCAUAAUAUUGAGUAAUGAUUUUUCUGUAUUUACAUAAAUUAUCCCUACUAGGCGACAUAUUUUUCUGAUAAAACUCUGUGUUCUUGAUGUUUCCUCCAAUAGGGCUAACCCUCCUGAGGUGGUCAUAACUGAGCUCAUGAUAGAACUAGCGGUUUUAUCACAGCAUUUUUUGGUCUAUGUUACGACCACGAAAUCUUUUGUUGGUUUUAUGCAUUGCCUCACAGUUGUGUGUAUUUGUUUACAAAAAAAGAUCUCCGACAACAACCGCAAAUGCAAGUUUUAUUGAAAUGGUAUAUAAUAAGUGAUAAAACCAAUUCAUGACUACUUGCAAGCAGAGAUGGGACCAUUCAUUUGCAAAGAGUUACAUUCACUUGCUAUUAUCUCAGUUCAGAAGCAUGCUAUCGAAAAACAAUGUAUGGAUGAAUUAAACCUUGUAGUUUUAUCUGAAAGUUUGCCGAAUAACAUUGGGGUCGCACACGCAUACCAAAGUCGUGAGCGAGCUGUGAAGGCAACUCUCCACGCGGUAAAUGUAAAUUACAUUCACGCCGUGGAGAGUUGCAUUUGCUGCCUUCUGUUGACUUAACUAUUGAUUCUACGCUAAUAUAUUCUUCUACAAAGUUUCAGGUAAAACAAAAAUGAAAAAGUGUUCCAUACAUUGAUUUUUGCUGCGAUGUUACUGAAGCGAGUUAACAGCAAGUGAAUGUAAAUGAUUGCAAAUGAAUGAUCCCAUCCUUGCUUGCAAGUCUUCAACUGAAGAUGUUUAUAGCAGACGUUAUAUGAUAGUUUUAUGGAACGCCAAAAGUGCAAAGUAAAAAACUAGCACAUAAAACUGAUUUAGAACAUCUAGCUUUUUCACAUGCUCGUAUAAAACCAGAAUAAAACAUGAAUAAACCUUCAUUGUUACUUGAGAUGCAAUGAUAAAGUUGUCUUCUCACAACUGGCAGAAAUUAGUCAAAUUUCAUAAGAAGCUACUCCUGCAGUAAUAAGCUGUAAAAAGGUCGAAAUCUAUCGAUUUUGAAAUAAAAAUCCGCCGUACACCUUGGAUAAGAAAUGUGAGUAUCUAUGUAGCGGAGUUUUGCUUGACUCUGGGAUUCAAAUACUAAGAUAAGGCUGAUACAAAUUUUAUUUUGAUUUUUUGCCCGGAUUUUGAUAUAUAUUUAUCGAAAUAUCGGGUCAUGCUAAACAUUCUUUAACAAAUCCGAUGAUGAUGAUGUACCUGGGCUUGUUAGGGGAAUAUCUGUAAACAAAAGAUAAUCGUGUUAAGUACUGUUCCUUUGAAUUCCACUAAGAAUUUGCAUCCUUUACGUAUUUCGAUCUCAACUGUAAGGUCGUCUUCAGUGUUUUUGUACUUGACUCGAGUCAAGUACAAACCAGUGAUGCUAUUUUAAAGUUAUAGCCAGUUAAGGCUAUAGUAAUCAAAAACAUGGAAAGUUCAAUAACUACGUAACGGUUGAGAUUUGACCAUAUGCGUACAACAAUUCUUUCACCAUUUAUGGUCCUCUAUCACCCUUUCAAAUGUUUGCACUCACGAACCUAACACCCUGUAUAUACGUACAUAUACAGAGUACACAGAAAAAAAUAAUGUAAUAUGCAUCGAUGUAAUUGAUGCCGACGCACCGAUUCUCAGAUGUAAGCGUGAUUUCCAUAUACAAAAUUACACAAGUUUGAUGCUAUAUCACAUCGGUCUUUAUAUUACACAGAAACAGAUCAACCAAUCUCCUUUACACUGAAUCUGUGUAAUAUUCGCAUCAAGAGGGUGUGAAUAUUACACACAAACAGCUGCAACCAAUUGGUUGCGCUGAUUGUGUUUAAAAUUACACGAAACGAUGUCAUAUCAAAAUUGUUUUGGUACAAAAUUAAGUCUAGCAACACUUCCAGUCUUGUUUUGAUAUAGCUCGCUCAAAAUGGCAGUCAACCGGCCGAGUCGAAGUUUUGCUAAUCUUUGGUGUGUCUACUGCUGCCCGAAAUAUUCGAUUAUGUGGACUCGAAUGAUUCAUCUUCAACAUUGUGUCGCAUCGCUGUGUGUAGCUAAAUAGCAUGGAAAGCCGGAGAACCUGAUUCCCGGCGGAGAUACCGCCGGUUGUAACAUCGAAGUUGCCUGCGGCAGGUCGGUUCGAGCCUUGUCACUGAUCACUGGAAGAGAAGCGGAUGAGAGGAAGUAUCCCCCAAUAGGCAUUUGAACUGAAUUUGAACGAAAGAUGGCAAGAUAAUCUCAGCUAGAAAAGUGAUCUGUAGGUUUUGCAAUCUGCUGCAACUGAGAUUCCAGGACAGGAGCAUCUUUUCUAACCGGAUUAUUCGUCUAUAACUGCAAACUUAUUAUAGAAACUGCUACAUCUGGACGGGAUUCUCUGACGGAUCUUCGAUGUCGCAUAUGCUGCUUUUCGGUAGUAACCAUCACAGCCGUUUCUUCGAGAAUCCCAUCCCCAAUCUGACGGAGGUGGGCAGAUUUUCUGCGCUGAAUAGUAACCCCUAAUGCCGGAUAUACAUCGAUUCAGCGGAGAGUAGAUUUUGACACCGAUGGCAAAACAGGUAUUAUUGCGAGGAGGGGUAAAAAUCGUAUAAACAUGUUUUAUUUUUCUUCUGCUAUUUAAUUAUUACGAUUAUUAUGUAUUCGUUAGAGUUUUCGCAUCUUUUUAUGACUACGAAGCACGCAAGUACUCACUGCGUUUCCACUGGAACUUCCCAGUCUCUUUAACUUAAAAGGGUUCUUUAAAGAAUUCUCAUGGUUAGGAUCGUUCUUCGCCUGCUAUUUCAUGAAUUAUAAUAGAUUGUGUGGAAAGCAAAAGCUCUUUCAGUUCCACCAGAAGUUCUUCAGAAAUUUCUCCAGGAGUUCCUUCAGAAAUUCCUCCAAAAGCUCUUGGAAUUCCUUCAGGAGUUUUAGGGCAUUCCUCCAGGUUUUCCCAAGAGUUUUUCUACGGUAAUUGCACCAGUAGUUCUUCGAAUAUUCUUCCAGCAGUUUAUUUGAGAAUUUAUUCAGAAGCUUCUUGGAGAAUUCCUCCAGUAGUUUCCUACUUCGUUGAUUCGGGAAUGCUUUCAAGAGUUUCUUCGGGAAAUGCUUCAGGAGUUUUUUUGGUAGUUCCUUCCGGAAUCCCUCUAAGAGUUUUUCGUGAAUCCCUCCAGAAGUUCUAUCGACAAUAACUCCAGAAUUUCCUUUGGGUAUUCCUCCAGGAGUUCCUUCGAGAAUUCUUUCAGGAGUUCUAUGUGAAUUUCUGCAGAAGUUCUUUGGGGAUUGAUCUACGGGAGUUCUACGAAAAUUCCAUCAGGAGUUGCUCUGGAAAUUCUUCCAGCAAGUUUUUCGAGAAUUCCUCUAAGAGUUUUUAGGAAAUUCCUUCAGGAAUUUCUUUGAACAUUUCUUCAGGAGUUCUUCGGGAAUUCCUAUGAGAGUUCCUUUGGGAAUUCCACCAUGAGUUGCUUUGGGAAUUCUUCCAGAACUCCCUUCAGAGAUCCCUCCAGCAGUUUUUCUGAGAUCCCUCCAGGAGUUACUUGGGGAAUCCCUCCAGGAGUUCAUUCCGGAAUACCUCAUGGGGUUCCUUUGGGAAAUCCUCGAGGAGUUGCUUCGGGAAUUCCUGGACGAAUUUUUACGAGAACUGCUUCAGAUGCUCCUUCGUGAAUUCUUCCAGAAGUUCCUUCUAUAAUUUCUCCAAGAGUUCUUCGGAAUAUCUUUCAGAAGUUCUGCAGCAGUUCCUCCAGCAGUUCGAAGAAAAUUUAUUUGGGAGUUUCUUUGGAAAUUGCUUCAGAAGUAUUUUCGGAAAUUCUUGUAGGAGUUUCUUCGGCAAUUCUCUCAGGAUUUUCUUCAAAAUCCCUCCAGGAUCACAUUCGAGAAUUCCUCCAAGAAAUGGAGAUUACUCUAGAAGUUCCUCGAGAAUUCCUUUCUUCAGGAAUUCCUCCAGAAGUUUCUUUAGAAAUUCUUUAAAAAAUUACUUCGAAAAUUCCUCCAUUAGUUCUUUAGAUAUUUCUUUGGUUCUACGGAAAAUCACCCAGGAGUUCCUAGGAAAUCUACCCAGGAGUUAUGCAAGAAUUCAGAAGUUUUUUUCGAAAAUUCCUCAAGAAAUGUAUUCGGCAAUUUUCCUAAGAGUUCCUUCCCAAGUCGUAUAUGAUGUUGAAUUGGAUGCGAAAAUUCUUAAGAGAGUUUCUUAAGGAACUGCUACAAGAGUUCUUUUGGGAAUUCCUCCAGGAGUUCUAUCAGAAAUUCGUUCAGGAGAUCCUUCGGGAAUUCCUUCAGGAGUUUUUCUUUUCAGAAGUCAUUGGAGAAAUGCUACAAAAUUCUUUCGGUAAUCCCAGCAGAAGUUCGUUUGAAACACCUGCUGAAGUUCCUUUGAAAAUUUCCCCAGGAGUUUUUCGAGAAUUCAAGAAUUUCUCCGGAUGAUUCCUCUAGGAGUUCUACAAAAAUCCAUCCAGCAGCUUUUUUUGGGAAUUCCGUCAGGAGUUUCUUUGGAAAUUCUUCAAGGGGUUUUUCGAGAACCUCACAGAAGUUCUUUCGGAAUUUCCUCCAGAAGUUUAACAAGAAGCCCUUCAGGAGUUUUUCGAAAAUUCCUCCGGGAGGAGUUCCUUCAAGUGUUCUACGGAAAUUGCUCCAACAGUGCUUCGUGAAUCACUCCAGGAGUUACUUUGGAAGUUCCUUUAGGAGAUCCUUCGAUAGUUUCUACAGGAGUUCCUACGGGAACCUACAUGGCUCCAUUCGGAAAUUCCUUUAAUUUCCUAUGAGAAUUCUUCCAGAAGUUUCUUUCGGGGAUCCCUCCCGGAAUUUCCGGGAAUUCUUCCAGAUUUUCCUUAGAAAAUACCUUCAGAACUUUCUUCAUGGAUUCCUCCCGGUAUUUUUCGGAAAUUUCUUCAGAAGUCAUUGUAAAAUUUCUCUAGGAGUUCCUUCGGCAAUCCCACCAGAAGUUCCUUAGGAAUCCUUCCAGGAUUACCUCCGAGAAUUCCUUCAGGAAAUGUUUGGGAAUUCCUCUAGAAGUGCUUAGAGAAUUCUAGUGUUCUACUGACAUUGCUCCAAUAGUCCUUCGUGAAUCACUCCAGGAGUUCCUUCGGGAAUUCUUCCAGGAGUUCUUGGGGGUUUCCUCAAUAAUUCUUCGUGAAUCUCUAGAAGUUUCUUAGAGCAUCCCUCCAGGAAUUUCUUCGCGAAUGACUACAGAACUUCCUUUGAAAAAUCCUCCAGGAAUCCUUCAAAAGUUUUACAGGAGUUCAUACGGGAACCCUCCAGGAAUUACUUCGUGAAUUCCUCGUGGAAUUCCUUCGAGAGUUUCUCUCGAGUUCUUUCAUGAAUUGCUCCAGGAGUUCCUUUGGGAAUUCCUCCAGAUUUUUUUAUUUUGACAUUUCUCCAGAACUUUAUGAAUUCCUCCAAAACUUCCUUUGGUAAUUCCUCCAGAACUUCAUUCGGGAAUUCCUACAUGACUUCAUUCGGAAGUUCCUUUGAAUACCUUUGAGAAUUCUUCCAGAUCCCUCCUGGAAUUUCUUCGUGAAUCCCUUCAAAUUUCUCUUGGAAAAUUCCUUCAGAGCUUUCUUCGUGCAUUUCUCCAGGUUCUUAACGGGAAUCCUUUCAGAAGUCAUUGUGAAAUUUUUCUAGGAGUUCCUUCGGCAAUCCCACCAGAAGUUCCUUCGAAAUUCCUCCCAGGACCACUUUCGAGAAUUCUUCUCUUCCAAGAGUUUUACGAAUAUUCUUUCAGGAGUUUCUUCAGGAAUUUAUCCAGAAGUUUCUUCAGAAAUUCUUCCACAAAUUUCUUCGAGAACUCCUUCAUUAGUUCUUUAGCAAUUCCUUUGGGAGUUUCUUCGGAUAUCCUUCUGAUUUUUUUUUUGGGAAAUCACCCAGAAGUUCUACGGAAAAUCAUCCAGGAGUUCCUUGGAAAUCUAUCCAGGAGUUAUACAAUAAUUCCUUCAGAAGAUUUUUCGAAAAUUCCUCCAGAAAUUUAUUUGGCAAGAAUUCCUUCAGGACUACUACGUAAAUUCCUCCAGGAGUUCCUUGAAAAUUCGUUCAGGAGAUCCUUCGAGAGUUCCUUUAGGAGUAUUUUUUUAAAAGUCAUUGGAGAAGUGCUACAGAAAUUCUUUCGGCAAUCCCUGCAGAAGUUCCUUUGAAAUUCCUCCUGGAGUUCCUUUGAAAAUGUGCCAGGAGUUUUUCGAGAAUUCAAGAAUUUCUCCGGAUGAUUCCUUUAUGCUUUUUUGAGAAUUCCGUCAGGAAGUUUCUUUAGAAAUUCUUCAAGUGGUUUUUCAAGAAUCUCACAGGAGUUCUUUCGGGAAUUCCUCAAGGAAUUUUACAAGAAUUCUUUGAGGAGUUUCUUCGAAAACUCAUCCGAAAGAAUGAGUUCCUUCAAGUGUUUACGGAAAUUGUCCAACUAUUCUUCGUGAAUCUCUCCAGAAGUAUAUUCGAGAAUCCCUCCAGGAAUUCCUCCGAGUUCUUUCGUAAAUUGCUCCAAGAAUUUCUUCGGAAAUUUAUCUAGAUUUUUCUUUGGACAUUCCUCCAGAACUUUUUCCGUGAAUUCCUUCAAAACUGCUUUUGGGAAUUCUUCCAGAAUUUCAUUUGGGAAUACCUACAUGACUUCAUUCGGAAAUGCCUUUGAUUACCUUUGAGAAUUUUUCCAGGAUCCAGGAGUUGCUUCGAGAAUUCCCUCUAGAUUUUCUUUUGGGAAAUCCUCUAGUCUUUUUGGGGAUGCCUCCACGAGUUACUUCGAUAAUUUCUCCUACAGUUCUUCCGGAUUUCUUCUAAAAGUUCUACUGGAAUUCCUCCAGGAAAUUCCAUUCAGGAGUUUUUUUUUUUUAAUUCCUCCAGGAGUUCUAUCGGGUUCUCUUCUAGGUGUUCUUUCGGAAAUACCUCCAGCAGACCUAGCGGGAAUUCUUCAAACAGCUCGUCGUGAAUGCUUCCAGGAGGUCUGCGUAAAUUCCUUCAAAAGUUUUUUUUUUUGAGAAUUUACUUCGGGAACUACUGCAGGGGUUCCAUCAGAUAUUUGUCCAUGGGUUCCUUUGGGAUUUCUUCCAACAGUUCCUUUGGGAAUCUUUCUCGGAGUUUCAUCUCAAAUUUAUGCAUAGGUUCUUCAUGAAUUAUCCUGUUUUCUUGGCAAUUCCUUCAGAAGUCAAUGAGGAAUCUGUCCAGGAAUUCCUUCGGAAUUCCUCCAGUUCCUUUAAGAAUUCAUCCAGGAGUUCACGGGAAUUUCUUCGGAAGUUCUUUGGGGAUUCCUCCAAGAGUUCUACGAAAAUUCCUUCUCAGAAGUUUUUUCGCAAAUUCUCCCAAGAAUUUCUCAUAGAAUUCCUCUAGGAGUUUUUCUGAUACUACAUAUUCCUUCAGGAGUUUCUUCGGAUAUUUCUCCAGGAGUUUUUCGGGAAUUUCUCCAGGAGUUCUUUUGGGAAUUCCACAAGAGUUCCUUUGGGAUUUCCUUCGGGAGUUCUUUUGGAAGUUCCUCAAGAACUUCGGUCGGGGAUUUCUCCAGAACUUCUUCCAGGGAUCCCUUCAAGUGUUUCUUAUGGAAUCCCUUCAGGAGUUCAUACGGGUUUACCCCCUGGAGUUUUUUUGAGAAAUCAUAUAGGUGUUCCUACCGGAGAUCCUUCGGCAUUUACUUCAGGAAUUCGUCUAGGAGGUCUUCGGAAUUCCUCCAGAAAAUCUACGGAAAUUUCACCAAAAGUAACUUCGGAGUCACUCCAGCAGUUUCUGUAGUUAUUAGAUUAGGAGUUCUUUUGGAAAUUUUUCCAGCAGUUUCUUUGGGAAUUCGUUCCGGAGUUUCUUCUCGGAUUUAUGCAAGAGUUCUUCAUGAAUUCGUUCAAGUAUUUUUCGGGGAUCCCGUCGAAAGCCAUUUGUGAAAUUUCUCAAGGAGUUCUCUCGGUAGAGUUUGCUCUGUAUAGAUGUUGCUUCGAAAUGCCUCCAGGAGUUCUUUCGAGAAUUCCUCCAGGAAAUCUUUGGGAAUUCCUCUAGAAAUUCUUCGAAAAUUCUCCCAGGAGUUGCACGAAAAUUGUUUUAGGAGCUUUUUCAUGUAUUUCUCCAGAAGGUUCUUUGGAAAUUGUUCUAGAAGUUUCUUCGAAAAUUUCUCCAGCAGUUUUUUAGAAACUUCUCCGAGAAUUUCUUCGGAUAUUCCUCUUGGAGUUCUUUGAAAAAUUCUUUUGAGGAGUUCUACGGAAAAUCAUCCAGGAGCUCUUCGGGAAUCUCUCCAGGAGUUUUUUCGUGAAUUUCUCCUGGAGCCUUUCCGGAAUUACCCUAGGGGUUCUAUGGAAAUUCCUUCAGAAGUCAUUAUAAAAAUUCCUCCAAAAGAUUUUUUAAAAUUCCUCCAAGUGUUCAUUGUGGAAUUUUUCUAGGAGUUCUUUUGAGAUUUUUUUAGAAGUUUCUUCGGGAAUAUGUUCAUAUGAGUUUCUUCGAACAUUCUCCCAAGAGUUCUAUAAUGGUUUCUUCGUUUCCAGGCUACAAAGAUUUUUUGGAGGAAUCCAGAAGGAAUCCCUGAUAGAAUCCUGAGUAAUUCCCGAAGAUACUUAUGAAAGAAUGUUCAAAGCAACUCCCAGAGGAAUUUCCCCAAAAAACUCCUUAAGAAAUCCCUUUAGAGCUGCUGAAAGAAAUUCUAAAGAUUUUCUGGAGGAAUUUCUAAAGAAUUCCUAGCUGAAUUCUCGGCGGAUAUCCUGGAGGAAUUCCUGAAGGAACUUCCGUAGGAAUUCCCGUAGGAACUCCUGGAGGAGUUUUCGAAUGAAAUCCUGAAUGAAAUUUGUUAGGGAAUUCCGCCAAAGAUUCCUUCGGAAGUUUUUUCAGUAAUUCCUCCAGAUGUUCUUUAGGGCAUUCCUCCAGGAGUUUGUUCGGGAAUUCAUCAAGUUGCUGCUUCGAGAAUACCUCUAGGAGUUUUUUCGGAAAUUGUUUCAGGAGAUCCACCAAGAAUUCCAUCAGCAAUUCUUUGGAAAUCCCUCCAUAAGUUCUUUGGAAAAUUGUUUCAGAAGCUCUAGAGGAAUUUCUUCAAUAGUUUUUUAGGGAACGAAGGAAUUUCUUGGGGAAUCCCCAAAGGAACUUUUUUUAAGGAAUUACCGAGGCACUCAUUGAAGAACUUCUGGAAGAAAUCAUUAGGGAAUUUCCUGUAGAAGUCCUGAAGGAUUUUCAGAAGGAACUCAUAUGAACGUUUCCCCGAAUAAAGAAUUCCUGAAAGAACUCCUAGAAUAAUUCUCGAGGGAACUCUUGGAGAAAUUCCCGUAGAGUUCAUGUAGGAACACCUGAAAUAAUUCUGCAGGAAUUUCCCUAGAACUUCUAAAAGAAUUCCAGAAAAUCUCUAGGGGAAUUUCACGAAAAAUAACUCCUAAAAGAAUUCCCGAAGAACUUUUGGAGAAAUUCCUCAAGAAUUCCUAGACGAACUCACGAAGCUACUGCGUGAAAGAUUCACGAAGAACUCCUGGAGUAAUUUCCAUAGAAGUCAUGAAGGAACUCCUAGAGGAAUUGGGUUUUUAAAUUGAGAAAAAUUUAAUGAUAUAAUAUUUUUAAACGAUAGAGCACCUCUUUCUGAGCCACUAUGAUUUUUUUUCGGAUUUUUAGAACUUUAUUUUGAUACCCAAAAUAAAUUUCAAAGAGGUUUUUUCAAAACACCUUUCGACAGCUGGGCAACUGUUUGACAGCUCCGCCUAGUACAAAAUCCGGCGAGGGAUGAUUCAUCAAAUCGCUCCCAUUCAAACUUCAAAUUGAUUUUUAACUAGGUUCCCGGGCACCAAAAUUCAUGAAAAUUUGGAUUUCGGCUCAGUUUGACAUGCAGAUUCAGAAUAUUGAAUUAUCUCAACACAGUUAAAGAAGCCAAUUGCUAAAGAACUCCACGAGAAAUUUUCAAAGAAACUCCUGAAGGGGUUCUUGAAAGAAAUCCAGAGGAGAUUCCCGCAGAACUCCUGAAGGAUUUCCCAAAUAACUUCUACAGCAAUAUCCAUAGAAACUUCUGAAAGAAUUGCUAAGAAACUCCUGAAGGAGUUUUUGAAGACAUUUCUGUAAGAAUUUCCUAAGAAACUCCUCGAGGAAUUCCCGAAGAAACUCCUAAAGAGAUUUUCGUUGAACUCCUAGAAAAAUUGCCAAAGAACUUCUGGAGAAAUUUCCGAAGAACUCCUGGAAGAAUUUCCGAAGAACUCUGGCAGAAUUUUCGAAGGAAUUUUAGAAGGAAUUUCAAAGGAGUUUAUGGGGUGACUGCCGAAACAAUUCCUGGAGGAAUUUCCCAAGAAAUCCUGGACGAAUUCCCCAAGAACUCCUAGAGAAAUUCCUGAAGCAACUCCUGGAGCGAUUCACAAAAAAUUCCUUAAGUAGCUUCCGUUGAACUCCUGAUGGAACUCCUAGCUGAAUUGCUAAAGAACUCCCCAAGAAAUGAAAAAAAAACUGAAGAAAUUCUUGUAGAAUUCCUGGUGAGAUUCAUUAAGAACUCUUGGAUGAAUUUCCUUAGAACUCGUGAGGAAUGUUUCCCAAAGAACUCCUGGAGGAAUUUCCAAAGAAACACUUGAAGAAAUUCCUAAGGAACUCUUGAAGGAAUUCUUGAAAAAAAUCUUAUAAGAAUUUCCUAUAAAACUCCUGGAUAUAUUUCCGAACAAACUCCUUAAAAGAUUUUCGUAGAACUUCUAGAGGAGUUCCCAAAGAACUUCAGGAGGAAUGAUCGAAGAAUUCCUGGAGGAACUCCUGGACGCAUUGCGAACUUCUGCAGCAAUUUUCGAAGGAACUCCUGAAGGAAUUCUUGUAGAACUCCUGGAUGAUUCCCCAAAGAGCUCACGAAGGAAUAUCUGAAGAAACUCCCGAAGGAAUUCCUAAACAACUGCUGGAUUUAUGGAAGAAUAUUGGAGUAUGAAAGAACUCCUGGUAGAAAUUUCGAAAUAACUCCUGGAGGGAUUUCGAAGGAACUUCUGCAGAGAUUGCCGAAGAAACACUUUGAGAAAUUUCACAAUUACUUCUGAAGGAAUUCGCGAAGAAUACCUGGAUGAAAUGAAGUCAUGGAGAAUUCUUGUAUAAAUCCGAAAAAAGAAUUUCCGCAGAAAUUCCCAAAGGAAUCCAUGAGGGAAAUGCUUGAGCAAUCCCGGAGGACAUAUCUGGAGGAGUCCUGGAGGGAAUUCCUGAAGGAGUUCCGGAAGGAAAUCCUGGAGCGAUCCAUUUCCUGAAAAGAUCCUGGAAUCUGGAUUUUAUAAAUCCCAAAAUCUUGAUUUGGGAAUACAUAAACUUCUGUAAGAAUCCCAGCAGAAUCUUCUGAAGGCACCUCAGUAAAAAAAACACUAUGAAAGAAUCCCAAAAGAAACAACUAGAGGAAUCCAAAAAAGCUCCUCGAGGAGUCUUUAAAGAAAGAAAAUCAAACUAUGAUGUAUCUUAGGAUCAAAUUCCUUGAAAACGCUCAUAACUUGACUAUCCCCGAACUGAUGAAGUUCAAAAAGAAAGAUGUUUUUGAAUACCACGUUGAAGAGCUCUUGAAAAAAAUUCUGAUAUGUAUCACUCCUGCAGUCGGAGCUCGCAGAGAAAAAUGGACGUUCUUGAGAAUUUUCUCUUAUGGAAUAUUUAUUUCUUUCACUCCUUGGAGGAAUUCCUAGGAAAUUUCUGCCGUAAUUCUGGCAAGAAAUCUUCUCUGAAAAAAAGAAAAAAAAAACUUCUUAGACACUUGUUGUUCAAUGCGCCAAGAAUGUCCGCAUAAAAUAAUAAUUUUCUAUCAGGUUUUCUAUUAAUAGUUACUUAUACUUUUUUUUGUAUGUUUCAGGAUGAUAAUGCAAUACGUCUUUGAGCUGCAUUCGCUCUGCCGUCGUCGGAAAACCGUUAUUUAGCUAAUAAGCUCGACGAUCCGUAUACAUAUAGCCAAUGCGGUAAACACGCAUGAGUUCGCCUAAUGGUCAGUUCCAGAUCCUUUCGUAAUAUAAAUAAUUUUGACCUCUUUGGGCGUCUGCAUGCCUGUACCAGCCAUAAAAUUAAAAAUAGUUAGAAAAUAAGGCCUCGUGAUUAUGAAGUGCUCAUAGACCCGCAAGAUAGUGUGCAGGUUAUGUGACAGUUGGGAUGUAAAGUCAGAAGAAAAUAAGUUAAUAAAUAAAUUCUGGUGCAAACUUA